rnacentral:rRNA from 1 species
CCCGCAAGGGAAAGUGGCGGAAGGGUGAGUAAUGCGAUCCUAUGUACCCCGAGGUGGGGGAUAGCGGUGGGAAACUGCCGGUAAUACCCCAUGUUCUCGCAAGAGCAAAGGUUUACCGCCUUGGGAGCAGGGAUCGUCCUAUCAGGUAGUUGGCGGGGUAAUGGCCCACCAAGCCGAAGACGGGUAGCCGGUAUGAGAGUACGGCCGGCCACAUCGGGACUGAGACACUGCCCGGACUCCUACGGGAGGCUGCAGUAACGAAUAUUCCGCAAUGGACGAAAGUCUGACGGAGCAAUGCCGCGUGUGGGAUGAAGCGGCUUCGCCGUGUAAACCACUGUCAGAGAGUAGAAACACUGAUCGCUCUCAGAGGAAGGGGCGGCUAACCCUGUGCCAGCAGCCGCGGUAAUACAGGGGCCCCAAGCGUUAAUCGGAAUUACUGGGCUUAAAGGGUGCGUAGGCGGCUCCGUAAGUGCUCUGUGAAAGCCCUCGGCUCAACCGAGGAACAGCAGGGCAUACUGCGGAGCUUGAGGAAGGUAGAGGCCGUUGGAACGCUCGGUGGAGCGGUGGAAUGCGUAGAGAUCGAGCGGAACGCCAAAAGUGAAGACAGACGGCUGGGCCUUUCCUGACGCUGAGGCACGAAAGCGUGGGGAGCAAACCGGAUUAGAUACCCGGGUAGUCCACGCCCUAAACGAUGUAUGCUAGAUCGGCCAGGCUCUGACGUCUGGCUGGUCGGAGAGAAAUUGUUAAGCAUACCGCCUGGGGAGUACGGUCGCAAGGCUAAAACUCAAAGGAAUUGACGGGGGCUCACACAAGCGGU